rnacentral:lncRNA from 10 species
GGGGACGGGGUUGGGGGGAAUUACCAUUAGCAGUUGAAGUGGUAGGAAAUUUUUACAUAGGAGAGUAUGGUGAUCAUAUUUGCAUUUUAGAAAAUAAUGGAUAGCAGUUUGUUAGGGGAACAAAGGACAGAGACAGGGAGACUAUUUAAAACAUUAAUAAAAAAUACCAGUGACAGAUGAUGAGGCACCUACCUGAUGGGAAUGGAGAAGAGGAGAUGGAUUCAGAAACUACUUAGGAGAGGCAGGCAGUCCAAGGCUGAUGCCCAAAGAAGCCAUCAAGACCCGUGCUACUUCCAGCUCCUUCUGUCCUCAUAAUCAUAGAUGAUUGCUCCACAUCCAGGGUGGAAUGCAAUGGUAUGAACACAAGGCUCACUACAACCUCUACCUCCUGGGCUCAAGCGAUCCUCUCACCACAGCCUCCUGAGUAGCUAGGACUACAGCACCUAACACCAGUACUCAGUUAAAUUUUUUGCUGAAUAAAUCAAUGAAUGGAGAGGUAAAGAGGAACCAGAAGUUGGGGUUACAGAAGUCACUGAUGGAAGAGUUUCAAGAUAGUAGAAGUGGUCAGCCCUGUUAAGUGACAAGCCAAGGACUGAAGAAAGACUGGCAGAUUUGGCAAUCAGAUGAAGUGACCUGACCAAAGAGCAGCUUGUGUGAAGUAGUGAGGACAGGCGCUGGUCUGC